rnacentral:tRNA from 1 species
GCCUCGGUAGUGUAAUGGAUCAGCACGGCAGAUCGUAUGUCUGUAAGUGCAGGUUCGAGUCCCUCCUGAGGUU